GUGGAUCAUCGAAUCUUUGAACGCAAAUUGCACUCUCUUCGGAGAGUAUGCCUGUUUGAGGGUCAGUAUUAAUAAAAAUCGGUGUGUUGCUUCUUUGUGACGCUCCGGAGUUUGGGUCAUCUUAAUAUCCUUUUGGUUAAGGGGCUUAAAAUUGACCUUUUUUGCGCAUUUUUAGACGUACAUAAUUUUUUUUUUUUAUUCGUCUGUCUUAAUGCUUUAAAUCCUAUUAGAUGGGACCAUAUCGUGGGGUUUCGGGUCUAUAAAUUAUUCAUGAUUU
rnacentral:misc_RNA from 1 species